rnacentral:misc_RNA from 1 species
GAUGAAGAACGCAGCAAAAUGCGAUAAGUAAUGUGAAUUGCAGAAUUCAGUGAAUCAUCGAAUCUUUGAACGCACAUUGCGCCCGCCAGUAUUCUGGCGGGCAUGCCUGUUCGAGCGUCAUUUCAACCCUCAAGCACAGCUUGGUGUUGGGACUCGCGUUAAUUCGCGUUCCCCAAAUUGAUUGGCGGUCACGUCGAGCUUCCAUAGCGUAGUAGUAAAACCCUCGUUACUGGUAAUCGUCGCGGCCACGCCGUUAAACCCCAACUUCUGAAUGUUGACCUCGGAUCAGGUAGGAAUACCCGCUGAACUUAAGCAUAUCAAUAAGCGGACGA